rnacentral:rRNA from 1 species
UACGUAGGGGGCGAGCGUUGUCCGGAUUUAUUGGGCGUAAAGAGCUCGUAGGCGGUUUGGUAAGUCAGGUGUGAAAUCUCCACGCUCAACGUGGAGGGGCCACCUGAUACUGCCAUGACUGGAGUCCGGUAGAGGAGUGUGGAAUUCCCGGUGUAGCGGUGAAAUGCGCAGAUAUCGGGAGGAACACCAGUGGCGAAGGCGACUUCCUGGCCUGUUCUUGACGCUGAGGCGCGAAAGCUAGGGUAGCAAACGGG